rnacentral:rRNA from 1 species
UACGAAGGGGGCUAGCGUUGUUCGGAAUUACUGGGCGUAAAGCGCACGUAGGCGGACAUUUAAGUCAGGGGUGAAAUCCCAGAGCUCAACUCUGGAACUGCCUUUAAUACUGGCGGCCUUGAGUAUGGCAGAGGUGUGUGGAACUCCGAGUGUAGAGGUGAAAUUCGUAGAUAUUCGGAAGAACACCAGUGGCGAAGGCGACACACUGGGCCAUUACUGACGCUGAGGCGCGAAAGCGUGGGGAGCAAACAGG